AAAUACUUUUUUUUUAUUCUUUUUUAUGUUUUUUUUUGUAAAAUGUUUUGAUUUUUUUGUAUUUUUUUGUAAUAUUUAAAAUUUGUUUUUUGAACUGGAUUAGUACCCAGGUAAUCAAAGUUUAUUAAUUCGGGAGUAAAGUUUUGUUUAAACCGAAAAAAUAUUGACUGACUUUAGAUUUUUCUUUGGAAUAUGUGUUUUUGGAGAGCCCUCUUUUUUGGUGAAUUUUAUUGGCACAUGUAUGAUUGUUUAGUUUUUAUGUUAUUUGUGUUGCUUUUUUGUUUUUUUGCAUUUAAAACAGAUAUAUAUUUGGCUUAUAAAUUUAUUUUUCAUGUAUUACUAUUAUUAAUUUUUUUUGGAUUUAUUUUUUAUUUUGUUUUUGAAAUUGGAAAAGAAAGUAUUUUUUCUUUAUGUGUUAA
rnacentral:rRNA from 1 species